rnacentral:rRNA from 1 species
GUGAAUACCUUGGCUUAACCAAGGAAGGGCAUUUGAAACUGCUUGGCUUGAGUACGGGAGGGGGAAGCGGAAUUCCCGGUGUAGAGGUGAAAUUCGUAGAUAUCGGGAGGAACACCGGUGGCGAAGGCGGCUUUCUGGACCGAUACUGACGCUGAGACGCGAAAGCGUGGGGAGCAAACAGGAUUAGAUACCCUGGUAGUCCACGCCUUAAACGUUGGGCACUAGGUGUUGUGGGUAUUGACCCCUGCAGUGCCAAGGGCGAAUUCCACAGUGGAUA